rnacentral:rRNA from 1 species
GGAGCUUGCUCUGUGGGAUCAGUGGCGAACGGGUGAGUAACACGUGAGCAACCUGCCCCUGACUCUGGGAUAAGCGCUGGAAACGGCGUCUAAUACUGGAUACGAGUAGCGACCGCAUGGUCAGUUACUGGAAAGAUUUAUUGGUUGGGGAUGGGCUCGCGGCCUAUCAGCUUGUUGGUGAGGUAAUGGCUCACCAAGGCGUCGACGGGUAGCCGGCCUGAGAGGGUGACCGGCCACACUGGGACUGAGACACGGCCCAGACUCCUACGGGAGGCAGCAGUGGGGAAUAUUGCACAAUGGGCGCAAGCCUGAUGCAGCAACGCCGCGUGAGGGAUGACGGCCUUCGGGUUGUAAACCUCUUUUAGCAGGGAAGAAGCGAAAGUGACGGUACCUGCAGAAAAAGCGCCGGCUAACUACGUGCCAGCAGCCGCGGUAAUACGUAGGGCGCAAGCGUUAUCCGGAAUUAUUGGGCGUAAAGAGCUCGUAGGCGGUUUGUCGCGUCUGCUGUGAAAUCCGGAGGCUCAACCUCCGGCCUGCAGUGGGUACGGGCAGACUAGAGUGCGGUAGGGGAGAUUGGAAUUCCUGGUGUAGCGGUGGAAUGCGCAGAUAUCAGGAGGAACACCGAUGGCGAAGGCAGAUCUCUGGGCCGUAACUGACGCUGAGGAGCGAAAGGGUGGGGAGCAAACAGGCUUAGAUACCCUGGUAGUCCACCCCGUAAACGUUGGGAACUAGUUGUGGGGUCCAUUCCACGGAUUCCGUGACGCAGCUAACGCAUUAAGUUCCCCGCCUGGGGAGUACGGCCGCAAGGCUAAAACUCAAAGGAAUUGACGGGGACCCGCACAAGCGGCGGAGCAUGCGGAUUAAUUCGAUGCAACGCGAAGAACCUUACCAAGGCUUGACAUAUACGAAGACGGGCCAGAAAUGGUCAACUCUUUUGGACACU